UAGCAUGUGGUGUUGGCAAGCUCUCAUCAUUUCCUUAUAUCGCUCUCAUGCAUCAAAAAGCAAUUCUCCAUCAUUAUGCUUGAAGUAAGUGAUUUGGUUCCUCAGUUG